UUGUGCGCGAAAAGUUAACCUAUAAAUGCGAAGCGUCUCACACGCGUCCCCUCCCUAUCUCACAAUUACGUGGCGCGACAACCAGACGACACUCGAAUUUGCAUCGUUCAUGAUUCUAAAAGAAGCCUUGAAUUUUCACACGAAAUACGCUUUAUACAAGGCGCAACGGUUCGAUACAAAAUCCGCCUAAAGGAGAAAAAAUCAAUACGAGAACGGUUAUAGUAUUUAAAACGACCAAAUUACAUACUAAAUUAUAAACUUUCUCCUUGUUUUUCUCCAUGUUGCAAAUAACCGUACGAGCAGUUGAUGCAAUCUUAAACGAUAUAGAAUUAAGGAAAGAUGUUAUAUUUGAAGAGGACAAAGAAAAAACAGACAAUAAAAUGGCAGAGAAUCGGUUUAAAAAUUUCAACGGCCGUUUCCAUAUAGCUAUAGCAUGGUCAAGUGUAUUUGAUAUAAGAUGAUUUGUAUCCUAACGAAAGUGUUACAUAAAUGAAAGCUAUAAAGCAUUAAGAAGCUGUGAUCAUGAUGUAAACACUAAGAAAUUGCUCUAACCACGCAUCUUUGUAAUCGACAAAAAAACUCGUCAAGUAUUGCAUUCCAUUCACAAAGUCGAGAUAUGCUUGGUCGACAAAGGAGCACAAAAAUAAGCAGCUCUGUGACACUGCGCUCCACGCGAGGCCAAAAACCUUUUCGUUGUUCAUAUCCGUCCAACGAGGCAAUGUUUGUAUCAAGGGCUACUUGAUGCAUUAUUGGAGGAAUUGCAACUCCGACUAACCAACACGUUGCAGCUCAAUGUCACUCAGCUCUGCGCGGAUGAUUCACAUUUGGCAUAAUAAUGGAGAGAUCGACAUGUUAUUUCCUCUAACGUGCAACUACAGCAGCAGCUUUUGAACUUACGUUUAAU